rnacentral:rRNA from 1 species
UACAGGGGGGGGCAAGCGUUGUUCGGAAUCACUGGGCGUAAAGCGCACGUAGGCGGCUUCUUAAGUCAGGGGUGAAAUCCUGGAGCUCAACUCCAGAACUGCCUUUGAUACUGAGAGCUUGAGUCCGGGAGAGGUGAGUGGAACUGCGAGUGUAGAGGUGAAAUUCGUAGAUAUUCGCAAGAACACCAGUGGCGAAGGCGGCUCACUGGCCCGGUACUGACGCUGAGGUGCGAAAGCGUGGGGAGCAAACAGG